ACUCCUAUAGCUUAAACCCAAAGCGUAGUGCUGAAAACGCUAAGACGAACCCUAAAAAGUUCUAGGGGUA
rnacentral:tRNA from 1 species